GCAUACAAAGAGAAGCGACCUCGCGAGAGCAAGCGGACCUCAUAAAGUGCGUCGUAGUCCGGAUUGGAGUCUGCAACUCGACUCCAUGAAGUCGGAAUCGCUAGUAAUCGUGGAUCAGAAUGCCACGGUGAAUACGUUCCCGGGCCUUGUACACACCGCCCGUCACACCAUGGGAGUGGGUUGCAAAAGAAGUAGGUAGCUUAACCUUCGGGAGGGCGCUUACCACUUUGUGAUUCAUGACUGGGGUGAAGUCGUAACAAGGUAACCGUAGGGGAACCUGCGGUUGGAUCACCUCCUUACCUUAAAGAAGC
rnacentral:rRNA from 2 species